CUCUCUCUCUCUCUCUCUCUCUCCGUUUCCUAAUCCUCUCUCUCCCUCCCGAUCUCUGCUCCAUCUCUCACAUUCUCCUCCCUCUCUCUCCACAACAUCUCUGCCGUCUCUGCCGUGAAGAUCCUACCCGAAGAAACACACGUGAAGCUUCUCUCCAUAGCUAGUUUUCAUCAAUUGUAUGCUGAUUUUAAGAUGCCACCUUUUAGUUUGAAAUUUUACCCCUUUUAAGUUGAUCUGUUGGUGGUAUCCAGAUAGAAUCCCAUAAUAAUAAGCUGGAGAUGCAGUCUGUAAAUAAUAAAUCACUCAUGGAAGAGCUUGAAAAGCUUCUCAAAUGUUUGCGUGUCCCUUCUGAGUUUGCAGCAUCUUUAACCGGAGGCUCAUUUGACGAGGCACGCAUGCUAAAUAAUGUUGAAGCUUGUGAAUGGUUAACUGGUGCUUUGCAUGCUCUAGAAGUGCCAAAUCUGGAUACUUGCUAUGCAAA